CUGCGCAAGAAGAGCGCGCCUAAGAAAGAACACCGUCGUGAACAGAUGCGGGAAUGUGCGCGGCGACGGCGGGCGACACAUAACACGGACGAAGACAGUGCCGCAAACGCCAAGCGCGUGCAUCUUUCGUUGGAUCACCUCUGCGGACUGCACUUUCAUCAUUAUUAUGGGUGAUUUUAACAUAGACCUGUCUCGGCCUGAUCGAUGGUGGCCGGACUGGUGUAUUGCUCAAGAGGAUCGCGGCAUUACGGCUGCUGAACGCAAGCCCCUGGAGUGCUCUAUCGCGCAUGCGUACAGCUGGACGGCUGUCUCAUCCACUGGCGGUCAACCAUCGGCGGGCCGGGGCGUUAUCACCUUGACUGGUUAUGACGUGGUACCUCACGCCGACUACAUAAAGCCUUGCAUUCUCGGGAAACGUUGCAGCGGCAGGCCGCUUCGUCAAGCUAAACCCUGUUUUCAUUCUUGGCAGUGAUGUUCAAAUCGGCCGAAGUUACCGGAAACUGCAAGAAUUCGGUGGGACUUGGACAACUCGUCUGAGUUCGACGGCCACUCUAGGUUGAUCAGCGGCCGCCAUUUCUCUGCAUCGUCGGGCCCAGGAGUGCGUGCUGUACAGCUGUGAACCUAUCCGGUCUCAACCGGGAGAACUAGACAACAAUAACACCACCAAAGGAAGAAGAGCCCCCGGCUCACCAGUGCAACUAUAGAGCGGGCCACAGAACCGGCACGACGAUCGCCGUGAAGUCCAGGAGUCAUCAGGACAAAUAACUCUGAACCUAUGCGAAAGAUAUAUGAUGUGUUUGUGGUGUCGAAGAAAUUCUGUCAGAAUGGAAUACUCGGAAAAAGCUUUCUUUUCUCUCAUUAGCAAUGCAUCCAUAAAAAACUUCCCUUGCACCAAACUUCGCGUGCAUCAAAAUACUUCGACAUGUAUACGGAGUGUGUUCCGCAGUACAAAAUAUUUUUUUUAUGUUGCCUGGCUCCCAGAAGACUCAAAUAUUACUGGGCAACCAGAAACACACAGACGUCCGUGUCUUUUUGUUGCGCAAUAAUACUUGAGAUUACCAACUUGGCCCAGAAUGCUGCUUUCAUUAACUCCCAGAAGAGUCCUUGAAUUCAAACACGAAAGUUUGCUUGCAGCAAUUUCCUUCUUUGUUUUUUCAUCCGGUUCACGGACAGCUAUCCUCUCAUUAGCUGCGAGCACUAUUUUUUUCCUUAGGAUACGUUUUUUUUAUUUCAUUUCAUUUAUUUGGGCAACACAAAUACAAGGUUUGCCCGCAAGGUAAGGCAAAAGGAGGGCGUCCUGACUAAGACCUUUACCUCGCUGGAGCAGCAGAAGUAGCAGUCUAGUGAUAAAACAAAGUACAAAUAAUAAGACAGAAAACUUCAAAACUAUUUAAAGCAACAUUUUCAACACAUUGAAAAGUUUCAACUGUUUGCCAAUAACAAGUAACUAAAUACAGCACAGCAAAAAUUAAGAACAUUCUGAUAUUAACAAAAGUUAUACAUUCAGAAUAUAACAUUAAUAACAUAACUAGUGACAAUAAACAAAGAAACUCUAUUACCAUUUGUUAAACACAGUGUGAUCAGAAAAUAUUAUGUACUGUAUUGCAUGUUUAAAUUUGUGAAUUGUUCUACAAUUUAUAGCUUCGUCAACUAUGUUAUGGUACGCAUUACAUAAAGACAUGGUUUCAUAUGCGAUCGUUUCCGUGACAUAUUUCGCCCUUGGUUUCUUUAUUACU